UAUGAUCGAUAUCGUGUGCAAAGAAGGAUGUUGGUACUAAUUUCUGUUAGUGAUUUUAUAGACUUUGUGACAAGGAACGUUGGGUUGGUUGGUCCGAGAACGUUUGGUUGGUCUUUCACUGCCGUGGUUAAUGAAUCUUACAUUCCUAGUUUUGAGACUACCAAAUCUAACGGUCAAAUCUCACAUUACAUAUUUUCUUGCUUUCUUUUUUUUCUAUUCUUUUCGGAUUACUACACCAACUCAAACUAACUAACUAUCUAUUCUUGCUGACACUUGCUCUGCCUCUACCAGUGAAAUGAGUUUCUCUCUCAACCAGAUACAUACACAGAAACUAUGGACCUUUGAGUUUGGUGCUGAGACAUGAAAAUGAAGGUGUAAGCCAAAAGAGAUGAAAGGCGUGACAUGGAUAUUUUGGGCCCAGCAACUCAUUACCUGACAAAUUUUGUAUGAAGAAUUUGGCAUUUGUAUUAUUGAGACUGGAGCUAGCUAAUGGGUUUAGCCGUACAUAUGAACAAAAUUAUUAUCCGCUCAAAAAAACAUAACAAUGACUGACAUGUCGGUCAUAGGUUCAAUAAUAUAACCAUUCUAUUUGUAAUUCAAGUGGAACUCAUUAAUGAAAAACAUUUUCAGACACACAUAAAAACACUGAAAGAUGGGUUAGGGUGUGAUCGUGAGGACUUAUUCCAUAAUGAUGUCGUUAUGUUUAAUAAUUUUUUAAGAGAUCCGCUAAGGUGAGACAUCUAAUUUCGCUUGUAUUAUGUUGUUUACUUUGGAUGGUCUGGCUAAUGUAGGUGGAGUGAUUAUUAGAAUAAAAGCCAUUUCUUAAGGGUGGUUUAUUUGUAAACAAGCUACAAGGAUAGGGUAUAAACUUUUCAACUGGAGUUCAUAUCCUCCAACAUGUUCCUAGACUUCUUAAUUAUGGAUUCUUUC